GGGUGAAGUAUUUAUAAAGUACGUCUUAUUUACACUAAGAAAGACCAACAUUAUGGCACUCUUU
rnacentral:tRNA from 1 species